UACGAAGGGGGCUAGCGUUGUUCGGAAUUACUGGGCGUAAAGCGCACGUAGGCGGACAUUUAAGUCAGGGGUGAAAUCCCGAGGCUCAACCUCGGAACUGCCUUUGAUACUGGGUGUCUUGAGUAUGGAAGAGGUAAGUGGAAUUGCGAGUGUAGAGGUGAAAUUCGUAGAUAUUCGCAGGAACACCAGUGGCGAAGGCGGCUUACUGGUCCAUUACUGACGCUGAGGUGCGAAAGCGUGGGGAGCAAACAGG
rnacentral:rRNA from 1 species